CUGGCCUUGGAGGAAAAAAGAGGGGGCGGGCUCAACAGCGCUGGCCUCCAGGGUGGACUGGAAACCUGGGGUUCCCUCCUGCAGAGAGACUGGGGACCCUCUGGCCUGAGCCCUGAGGGCAGGCCACGGCGGGAUGACCGGAUGACGGUGCAGCCCCCUGGUUCCCCACCAAGGCUGGAGCCCUGGACGCCAGAGUCGUUGGGAAGCUUGGACAACUGACACUUCUCCAUGUCUCAGGCUCCCAUCUGAUCUGCUAAAUGGACACAAUAAACAGUGCCAGCCUCAGAGGGUUGGCUGAGCCUGACCCAGGCUGCAGCCCAUGGGUCUCCAUCCCGGGACAUGGAAGUGGGAUUUCCCAAGGGAAGCAUUCCAUCUGAGACGCACACUGAGAACAGAAACGUGGAGAUGGCCAAGAGCUGAGAGUCGCCAAAAGCGGGAGAGCUCGAUCAGAUAACGCAGCGAUUUCUCAGAAGUGAGAGACGUGAAAACAGUGGAACAGGGUGCCGGAGGAGGAAGGACUGGGGGUCUCCUUCAGGAGAGAAGAGAGACAGAUACCUGUGAAUUCCGUUUUCCAUCUACUCAACGGAGCAGGGAGUCCUGGCUGUGUGGGCUGCGUGCAGCCUAAGUCCGCCUCGAGGAAGACGAAGACGAAGACGAAGUGGCCUCUACCCCUCCUGCAGCUCGGGCAGCGGGCACUGGGCACCGGUGUGCUGGGUUCCAGGCCUGGGUCACCUCUCUGGGCCUCAGUGUGUUUGUCUGUACACUGAGGUGUUUGGACUGGGUAUUUCCAAAGGUCCUUCCCAGCCUUAAAUGAUCUUCUUGGACUCUAAGAUUCUGGAAACUGCCUGGUCUUUGGGCCCUGUCACUACAGCUCAGGUAAAAAGGCAAUCUGGCUGGUGCCACAGUUUGGGCAGGGUGGGUCAGCCCUGCACCUUAGGAAGAGUCUGUCAGACAGGGCCCAGAUUGCCUGAGCCACCGAGUCACCUUCUUCUUCCUCUCCGGCUCCUCCAAGAUGUCCCCUGCGUGGGCUCAUCUGCUCCUGGCCCAGCCCUGAGCACUGGGAUGACUCAUCUCAGGAGGGAGCCUUCUGAGGAAGGGCCAGCACGUCAGGGCAGGAGGCUGAGAUUAGACCAGGGCCGCACAGCGCCUCAGGGCGGGUUGGCGUGCGGCCUGGGCGCUGAGGAGAUGCUGCUGCUCCAGGACGACCUCCUCCCUCAUAGCCCAGUGACCCCUGGAAUGUCCCUGCCACAGGCCUUCUGGAGGCUCCGACUCCACAAGACUGGCCCCACCCAAGGAGGAAGAGGGGAGUGGAAGGAGGCCGAGCUUGGAGUUGGAGCCGCUGUGGGUGAACAUCAGCUCCCGUGUCUGUGAGAAAGGGCUGGUGAUACCUCUCUGCCAGUUCUCAGAGUAAAAGCAAAAUACCCGCAAGAGUCCUCUACCAGCUAAAGCUCCACGGAGACACCCGGCUUGUUGUGAGGGCGGGAGGGCCCCAGCUGCGCCCGGCCGGGAGAAGGAGCACGACGAUGGAGAGUCGCAGCCUCUGUGUUCUUGCCCGCUCUAAGCUGGGUGCUGAACCGGCCCCUCCCCCGCCCCCCCAGAGCCCCGGCGGAGCACGGCUGCGAGGUGGGUGUGCAGCUGGCCCCGAGGACGGCGAGUGUGAGGCAGCCAUUCUGAAAAAGGAUUCAGGACAUCCCUAGUAAAAACAGGGUAAAACAACUACAUUAAAUUCUGCUGGCGAGUUUAUAAUGAGAGGUGACUGUGCCCACCCUCAGACCCUCUAGCUGAGGCCAAGCCCCUUCCCAAAGUUUCAGCUAUUCGUCUCUCUGACAUUUGCUUCGGUAACUCCAAAUAGUAUGUGGACAAUGGUACCUGUAGCUUUUGUUCAGCUUUAUUGAGGUAUAACUGAUAAAUAAAAUUGUAAGAUAUUUAAA